UACAGUUCAUUGAGUAACGACAGCAGCUGAGGGCGCUCGUGGUAGUAGGAAUUAGCUCGUGCAGCGAAACUGUCGGGGCUGCUCUGUUUAGUGAAAUGGAUAACAAAAGGCCAAGAUUAUUAUUACAUUAAAACAGGCAAGAAGCUGACAUGGCAAUGGGGGGGCAGACCACAUGGGAGAAUAGGGGGGGUGAUGACUGAUGAGUGUUUGAAUUUUGAAGUCUACAAAACCAGAGAAUCAAAUCAUAGUCUAUCUGCUACACGGCAUCAAUCAAUCAAUCAACAAAAGGGUAUCUGUAUUUUGGCCAAAGGGUUCAAAUUUCAAACACAAAAAAAAGGGGGGGUUGGUUGUAAAUUCAGAAAAUAUGCAAAAAAAUGGUAAAGAUUGCAGCUUUAUGAAAUAGAACCUUUCUGGGGCUGAUCUUUUACAUAGGGUUUGAAAGUGACAUAUCACAGUGUUGUUUUACUCAAAGCCAAAUACAGGGAAAGAUGGGUACAUCAGAAAAGCACUUGCCUCUAAACCACCAUCUUGGGCCCACAUUCCCCCCCAAAUUUAAAUUCAAAAAAACAAAAAAACAAAAAAUAAAAAUCUAAUCUUUUUUUUCUUUUUUUUCCUUCUUGGACUUUUUCACCUUUCUAAUUUCAUGGUGAAGAGUGAAUACUACUACUACUAUUUCUGCUUUUUCACAUUGUUUUGAAAUUUGAACAUAUCCAAGAAAAAAGUAAGGUGAUUUUCAUGCUA